AANGGAACAGUACCCCUAUUCCAGCAGUGGCCAAAUCAAAUCACCCUCCUUCUUAUAAUCCACUCAUCAUCAAGCUAAAAAGCAAGAACCAUAGUACGUAACCCANUGGGAAUUCACGUCCCAUCCAGCCAAUGCUCAAAGUUAAUGGAUGAACAAAACUCUUCUCUCCAAGAUUCACUAACGUGGGAGCCAAUCAAAAGUCAUGUGAAUCGGUGCAGUAAAUGGAGUGAACAUGCUUCUCACUUUCAAAUGACACAAACAAAAUUAAAUGGGAAGAGCAACGUAGACUACAACGUUGCUAGAGGAAAAUAAAAACAUGUUAAUCAUUCAUCAUGAAAACCAAAAUCCAUGGANAACCUUCAUCAUUUUUUUAGGAAAUGUUCCCAGCCCCAAAAUCAGAAACAAGAAUUGCCGAGAAAGAGAGACCACUCUGCAAGGUGACGNCUCUCUCUGCCUCCAAAAUGGUCCGAGAAUAGUGUGUCAAAAAAACUAGGGUGGGGUCCACCCAAACCCUAAAGCUAUGACAAGUUUUUUUAUAACUUGGGCUUAAGUCUCCUCUACAAAAUUGGCCCAAAUAAUACAAAACUUAAAUUAAAAAGUCUAAUCUANUAAAUUCAAAAUUGACUAAUCCUAAAGUGCCUUUGUGGAGAAUCUUCAAUUUGCUAGGUGUCCUUCCAAAAGUCCCAAAGAAUAGUUCCAAAAUUGCCCUGAAAAUAGAAAUAGGAAUAAUUAAGCUCAAAUAAUUCAAAUUAAUUAAAAUAUGAAUUAUUGGUCUAAUUAAGCCCAAAUGGUGAAAAUGACACAAUAACUAAGAAUUAAGCGCAAAUCAUCAACACAAUUCGGCGCGAAAAACUAAGUUAAUGGUAUAAAAUAUCGACUCAUCAUAU
rnacentral:lncRNA from 1 species